UAGCGCGGUGGUCCCACCUGACCCCAUGCCGAACUCAGAAGUGAAACGCCGUAGCGCCGAUGGUAGUGUGGGGUUUCCCCAUGUGAGAGUAGGGAACUGCCAGAC
rnacentral:rRNA from 1 species